rnacentral:sRNA from 1 species
UAUAACUAUAAAUGGAAUGGUGCAGUAUUCUAGUCAGUCUUCCGUUCCUGAAGGCGGGCCUAAAAAUCCGCCAAAGGGCACAUCGAUGAAGUUCCUUGUGUUGGCUUGAGGCGCCCAGCCUUGGGUCAGUGCUGGGAGUUAAGGUUUUAGGGCGAUCCACAAAGGCAUGUGGGCGUUGACCCUAUUACCGCGGAGGCCCAUCUCUGUCGUGGUAACUAAGCCUAGGGACCAUUAUGGAAUGGGGUAUGAACCUGCAUAGUAGGAAUGGGAAAACCUACUUGUAGCGUAGCCUGCCUUGAGUGGUGUUCGAGGGGAUUGGAGUUACAGAUUUCAGACUAGCGGCCACUAGUUUGUUAUUUCUCUUCUUCAUGAAAUCGACACUGCAAAAGAGGCUAGGGAACGCCAAAAAGACUGCUGAGGAAAUCUCCUAGACUGUUCUGUUGACGUUUAAAAGGGAUUAUAGUGUGGACUAAGUGGUAAUCCAGUCUAGUUUUUGGUGACAAAGCUAAGAUAAGUUUAAAGGGGAACCGCCUCUAUGGCAACAUGGGGUACUUAUUUGGGAAAACCUACUGGACCUAAGCCGCAGUUUUUACCUUUUAAAUGACCAUUCCAUACUUACAUAAA